AAUAAUGCAAGAAGAUACAUUUCAAAUUCAUCAGCUCAUACCCCAUAAAGUUGGUGACAAUAGGUUCGUAACUAGAGGAGUAUUAACACUUGCUCUGCAUUUAUUUGAAAUAUAAAUUAAACAUAAAGACUAUACAAAAUGCUCUUUUUGUUCUUUUCUGCCUUUCCUUCUCAUAAUAUCUCAUUUCCAAUUUACAACGUAGCAACUCUUGUUGUCUUGAUGUCCUUUAGAUAAGUGCAGCCCAAAUGCUCCAACCUGUAAAUAUAUCAACAGAUUAUAAAUAGUCCAUAUUUUGUCAACCUACUCUUGAUGCACAAGCAUGUAAAGAAUACACAGAUACAUGCAAAAAUUAACUUGUGCGACGACUGAAUUUUUUUAGGAAGUUGGUGUAAUAAUGCAGGCCCCUCAACCCUUCCCCACAUCGCCAUGACAAAAAGAAGUAUGGAAAAGAAAAAUCAAAAUUGAGAAAAGUACUGGUAUACUCCUGCCGAUCUGUUUGUUUCUAAAGUACUUGGUUUGACUAAAAUCAGAGAAUCACUAGCCCAAGAUCUGACAAAUAAAAUUCUUAGUCUGCAAAAGUUGAUGUAACAGUCAUACUCAUUCUAGAAAAAGUAUGACAUACAUUCUCUGAAUUGUUUCGUCCUGCUAAUUUCAUUCAUAUUUCUAGAACAAAUACAUAUAUAGGAAUAUUUGUAAUCACCAAGUAGCUAUUCUACUGCUCUAUAGUCUUGUCAACACGAUGAUUACGUACGGUCUGAUGGUUUCCUUGUUAAUAUGAAGUUAAAUCCCGAAAUAUGUGCAUUUGGCGUUGCAUCAGGCAAGUUUUUGGGUUUUCUUGUUUCUAACCGUGGAAUUGAAGUAAAUCCUGCACAGAUUAAAGCCAUUCAGGAAAUCCCUGAUAUACUUUCAAACAAGAAAGAAGUUCAAAGAUUAGCAGGGAGAAUUGCGGCCUUGGGAAGAUUCAUCUCUAAAUCAUCAGAGAAGUGUUUUAAAUUCUUCUCAGCCCUUAAGAAGCAGGAUCAUUUUGAAUGGAAUGAGAAAUGUCAACAAGCACUUAGGAAUUUGAAAACGUACUUAUCAAAUCCACCUUUGUUGGCAAAACCAAAGGCUGGGGAAAAGCUACUCCUCUACCUUGCUGUUUCGGAAGUGGCGGUAAGUGCUGUUUUGGUCCGAGAAGAGCAAGGUAAACAAUCAUCAAUCUAUUACGUAAGUAAAUCUUUGUUAGAUGCAGAGACGAGGUAUCCUAAGUUAGAAAAACUUGCACUUGCGUUAAUCAUGGCAUCUAGAAAGUUAAGACCUUACUUUCAGUGUCACCCUAUCGUUGUGGUAACUACCUACCCUUUACGUAACAUAUUACAUAAGCAUGAGUUAUCAGGUAGGUUAGCUAAAUGGGCAAUAGAGUUAAGUGAAUACGAAAUUGCAUACCAACCUAGAACUGCUAUAAAAUCACAAGUAUUAGCUAAUUUCGUGGCUGAUUUUAGUCAGGGAAUACAGUUAGAAGCAGAAAAAGAAUUACAGGUGUUCAAUGGAGCUAACCCAGGAACUUGGACUUUAUUCACUGAUGGCUCAUCUA
rnacentral:lncRNA from 1 species